rnacentral:rRNA from 1 species
UACAGAGGUCUCAAGCGUUGUUCGGAUUCACUGGGCGUAAAGGGCGCGUAGGUGGCCCGACAAGUCACUGGUGAAAGCUCGAUGCUCAACAUCGAGUCGGCCAGUGAUACUGUUGGGCUGGAGCACUGUAGAGGCUAAUGGAAUUCCGGGUGUAGCGGUGGAAUGCGUAGAGAUCCGGAAGAACACCGGUGGCGAAGGCGGUUAGCUGGGCAGUUGCUGACACUGAGGCGCGACAGCGUGGGGAGCAAACAGG